AUACGUAGGGUGCAAGCGUUAAUCGGAAUUACUGGGCGUAAAGCGUGCGCAGGCGGUUUUGUAAGACAGGGGUGAAAUCCCCGGGCUCAACCUGGGAACUGCCAUUGUGACUGCAAGGGUGGAGGGCGGCAGAGGGGGAUGGAAUUCCGCGUGUAGCAGUGAAAUGCGUAGAUAUGCGGAGGAACACCGAUGGCGAAGGCAAUCCCCUGGGCCUGCACUGACGCUCAUGCACGAAAGCGUGGGGAGCAAACAGGAUUAGAUACCCUGGUAGUCCACGCCCUAAACGAUGUCAACUGGUUGUUGGGGAUUUAUUUUCUCAGUAACGAAGCUAACGCGUGAAGUUGACCGCCUGGGGAGUACGGCCGCAAGGUUAAAACUCAAAUGAAUUGACGGGG
rnacentral:rRNA from 1 species